rnacentral:lncRNA from 1 species
GGUGGCCAGACCAUGCCAACCAUAGAGAGAGUGUAGGCACCUCCUUCAUACAUCACAGCUCUCUCCCCUCCCUCACAUCACUGCAUCAUCACCAAAGAAUGACCCCUGCCCUUGCUGAAUUUCUACAUCAAUGAGGACACGAGAUAGUGACUGGAUGACUGGAUCUGGGGAGGAGGGAGAUCCACCCUCGGGAGCCUCAUUCUCCCUGCCUAUAAAAUGGCCAUAGUGACACUCUCCAGAGUGAGAGCCUCUGGCCCUUCCCACUCGCCCCUGCUUGGGAUGGGCAAGGAGCACCCAGGUGCAACCCUGCUAUGGGGCUCACCUUCCUCUGGCUUUCCAGGGGAGGAGGGGCUGGGGCCUGACCUGGAGAAGUCUGGGCCCCCAGCCAGGCCCCGCCCGCACAUGCUCAGUCCUAACGUUUCUCUUACUUUCGGUUUCCAUCUGACAUUCUGCCUGACACAAGUUUCUUCUACCCUGGCGGGGCCUCAACCCUGGGCCAGUGGGGGUGGCCUGCCUCCCUCCACUGCCCAACUCAGCCCAGGUGGGUCCCCCAUUCCACAAGCCCCAGUUCCACUCCUGUCCCUAUAGCCAGGGCAGAGCCAGAGGGAGGCAAGCCAAGGAUGAUGGAAUCCCCUUCAUCCCCUGCUCUGCAGUGUUUCCUGGCUGAGGCCAGGGUGAACCACCCCCUGGAAAGAGGGAUUCAGGAGCUGAGCCUGGGAGACCAAGAUGCCCCAUCCAACUUCUGCCAACCUGGGAACAGUGAACUGGAAGAGAGGCCAGCUUCUCCAAAGUCCCUGAACCUCCCUGCCCCGGGAUCAACAUCAAGAGACAGUGGUUCGCCCCUCACCAUAGAAAGUGACAUGGACCUCACAGCCAAUCUGCUGCCCUCUGGUGGGAUGCACUCCCAUCGGCUCACCUUUCGGACCCCAGUUACUGAGAGCACUCUUGGUCCGCACUUGCCCAAUCCCUCACUUCCUGGGAGCCCCAGUUCACAGGUCCAGGAUAAGGAAGAGGUCAGCUCAUGCCCCUUUGGGUCUAAGGCCCUGAGCCUCACAUCUACUUUACCGUUCAGCUUGGGUACCAGCCGGUCCAUCUUCUUGGAGCCCCGGAAGCCACUGAGGGGAGACCCUGCACCUGAGAAGUACUGGGGUCAGGCACACCCCUGGGCAGGGACUCCCAGUCUGAACCCAAACUCUAGACUAGGUCUUGUUCCUACCACUCUGCCCUGGGUUCGGGAUAAACCCUGGACCUUGCCUGCUGACUCCUCUGUGUUACAGAGGGAGGUACCUGAGACUCCAAGGGCCCCUCCCAUUCCUGUGGAAGUGGUGAUGGGCAAAGAUCCAACAGUAAUAACCCCUGGGGCGCAGGGAGAGCCCUUGGACUUAGGGGCUGAACUCCAGGGAAGGGAGCAGGGAGGGGUAUCCUCAGAGGGACCUGGAGAGGAAGCAGGAGAGGGUGAGGAUAGACCAAUGGACAGUAGGGCCAGUUUAAGUGGGGGAGACUGCAAGACGGACAGUCAAAAGCUAAAACUAGGUCAGGAGUGUUGGGUCAGUUCCCUGAAACCCUCUGUGGAAGAUAGCUAUGGGCGCCAAGUGAGAGAGGCAGGCUGCAUGCUUUUGGAAUGGUUUCGAUGCGUCUUCCUGGACAGUGACAAUCACAGUUUCUCCCUGCUCGACUCUGGCCUGGCCUUGACCACUGGUGGCCUUACCAUGAAUGCUGGCAGCCAGGAACACCCGGCUCUGCGUGUGGCCUUCCUAACUAUGAGGAAUGGCAGGAAGCUAGGCAUGGCAUUCCCUGGUUCCAACCUCUUCUACUACUACUCCCUGGGCCUUAACUUCUUUGUCACUGCUCAGCUCAGCAGCCACUGGUUCCGAGUUCAAGACCGUGUCACUGGUGAGCAGAUGCUGAUGAAGAAGGUGCCUGUGGUCUCCGACUGGCAGAAGAUGCUUCAUCACUUCCUAUUCCUUCCCCCGGGGCCGGGACUUCUGGUACCCUACGCAGUCCUGUAUGACCGCCAGGGCUCUCUGCUCUACCUUAUGGAGGACCCUGGAGUUCUAACUGUGGGGCAGCCACCAGCAGGUCAGCAGCUGGACAGACUGAAGUGCCUCCUGGAGAUUCUCAGCUUCCUGCAAUUCUGCCAACACCACGGCUUGCAGCUUGAGGAAGUGGACUCAGGCCUGCUUUAUACCCACCAGGGAAUCUGUUUUGACCCCAGUGGACUCAGCAGCAAUGAAGGACUUUAUGUUUUCAGAAAGACUUUGAGAAAUGCGCUCCGGCUGGCGUGGAACACCCCACAGGAGGACACCCCAGCAGCAGAGGCCCUGUUGGAACAGAUGUGGAGGUGGCUGGAGGAGGACAUCAGGGGCGAUGAAGAGGAUCUGGAGGAGGCCACUACUUCUCUUGACCACCCUGGCAUCCCAUGAACGGAGGCCCCUGCCAGACCUCAGGGAACAGUGGGACACAGCACUUUAUAGCACCAAAGCAUUCUGACCUUCUAAAGUCAGAAUUGUCUCUCCAGAUUGUUUUUCACUGCCCGUUUCACAGAUGGGAGACAACUUACUCUCAGGUCACCCCAGCUGGCCUGGGGCUACCUCCAACACGAGAAACUUAAGCAUCCUGAUUCCCAGCAUACCAAGGACCAGCUCCUGUUUUCUUCCUGAUCUGCCUUAUGGGGGGAGAACUCUGGGUCACUCUCAGGACUUUGCCCAGGGACAUGCUGGCCAUAUUUUACUCUCAAGGAACCCCAGUGCUCACAUGCUGAGUACCCCAGCCCAGACUUCCUCACCUCAGGGUUAAGGUCCUGGGUUCUCCACUCCAGUGACUACCUGCUCCAAGAACUUGGAGGAGGGGGCUGCUUGCCCCACCCCAAGAGGCACAGGUAGUCUGGGAUCUCUUCAGCCUCUCACAGAAGUGCCCACGGAAGGUGGGCCACCAGGGUUUUCCCGAAGAGAAGGGAACAUUCCUGGGGGCCACCAUGGUGCUGUUUUUAUUUGGAAAAUAAAUUCCCAAGGAAAACACUGCCCCUCUUGUUC